rnacentral:lncRNA from 1 species
AUCGCCCAAUUUUCCCCCAAUUCAACCACCGCCCACACAGUAGGUUUCACGCAAGGAACUCGACUGCACUCUCUAGCAAUGGUUUUCGCCUCCACUCCGACUUCAUUUAUCAAACUAACGAAAAUACUUAGAAGAAAAAAGGAGAAAAAGAAAUGACAAAAUCCCCCAAGAAUCAAGAUCCCUUCCGCACCAGAGUUUAUCUAUUUAACUUCCAUGCUAGAAGUCGGUGAAAUUUCUACCUUAGAUGUUACAAGGCCACCAGCUAAUUCCUAUAUAAUUCUUAUCUUUACAGCAGCACUAUCUUGCAGAUUCUUAAAAAUAGUACGUUCUUACAUCUUGAGUUCAUGGAAUUUUGUUGGAGUACAUCUACUUCUUUUGUUGAGGAGCCCCAUUUGCCAAAUUUCAAUGAACAUGACAGAUAUGCAAGGCAGAAGACAGCCCAAAGUGGAAUACACAGGGGAAGGGUUCCACUUGAUUAGUAGUUACGAGUCAAAUGGGUUAUGAUAUGAACUUUUGUUUAUGUAGGAUGACUAGGGUUAUGAUAUGAACUCUUGUUUAUGUAAGAUUAUGAUGAUCGAACUUAUUUGAUCUCUGUAUGUAAACUAUUCGAAUGUCAAUUGGUACAUCGCAUUUUUUAGCCUUGCA